GUGGGGAAUAUUGGACAAUGGGCGCAAGCCUGAUCCAGCCAUGCCGCGUGAGUGAUGAAGGCCUUAGGGUUGUAAAGCUCUUUCAGUGGGGACGAUAAUGACGGUACCCACAGAAGAAGCCCCGGCUAACUUCGUGCCAGCAGCCGCGGUAAUACGAAGGGGGCUAGCGUUGUUCGGAUUUACUGGGCGUAAAGCGCACGUAGGCGGAUCGUUAAGUCGGGGGUGCAAUCCUGGAGCUCAACUCCAGAACUGCCUUCGAUACUGGCGAUCUUGAGUCCGGAAGAGGUGAGUGGAACGCCUAAUGUAGAGGUGGAAUUCGUAGAUAUUAGGAAGAACGCCAGUGGCGAAGGCGGCUCACUGGUCCGGUACUGACGCUGAGGUGCGAAAGCGUGGGGAGCAAACAGGAUUAGAUACCCUUGUAGUCC
rnacentral:rRNA from 1 species